rnacentral:sRNA from 1 species
AUCAACCCCGUGGCCUUUGGGGCCUUGCUGCAGUACCUGUACACAGGCCGCCUGGACAUUGGCGUAGAGCAUGUGAGUGACUGUGAGCGCCUGGCCAAGCAAUGCCAGUUGUGGGACCUGCUCAGCGACCUGGAGGCCAAGUGCGAGAAGGUGUCUGAGUUUGGUGCGAGCAGGGUUUGGGGCCCGGGGCCAUGGGUGCGGCCUGGCAGGGCUGGCCUGGCUCCCUGAAGUUGUUCUUCCCCUGUAGUGGCGUCUAAGCCAGGCACAUGUGUGAAGGUGCUGACCAUCGAGCCCCCCGCUGCAGACCCCCGCCUCCGGGAGGACAUGGCGCUGCUGGCCGAUUGUGCCCUGCCCCCCGAGCUCCGAGGUGAUCUUUGGGAGCUGCCCUUCCCUUGUCCUGACGGCUUCAACAGCUGCCCUGAUAUCUGCUUCCGAGUGGCUGGCCGCAGCUUCCUCUGCCACAAGGUGCUUGUGCCCUCCUGUUGCCCCUGGCCCCAACCCGUUGCCCUGAGCCCCCGUCUAGCUCCUCAGGAGACAGACCCUGGCCCUCACACUUCCUGAGCCCGGCCUCCCCCAGGCCUUUUUCUGUGGCCGCAGUGACUACUUCCGGGCCCUGCUGGAUGACCACUUCCGAGAGAGCGAAGAGCCAGCGACCUCAGGGGGCCCCCCAGCCGUCACCCUGCAUGGCAUCUCAUCUGACGUCUUCACUCACGUGCUCUACUACGUGUACAGCGACCACACUGAGCUGUCCCCCGAGGCAGCCUACGACGUGCUGAGCGUCGCCGACAUGUACCUGCUGCCAGGCCUGAAGAGGCUGU